CUGGUCGAGUGACCCUGCGCCGAAAAUUCAACGGGGCUAAAAUCUAUACCGAAGCUUGGGCUGCAAUACGAAAGUAUUGCGGGGUAGGGGAGCGUCGUAUAAGAGGAGAAGUCAUAGCGGAAGCGAUGGUGGAUUUUAUACGAGUGAGAAUGCCGGAAUGAGUAGCGAGAAUUAUGUGAGAAUCAUAAUGGCCGAAAGUCUAAGGAUUUAGGAGGAAGGUUCGUCCGCUCCUAGUAAGCCGGGAGCUAAGGCGAGGCGGAAACGCGUAGCCGAUGCACAUACGGUAGAAAUUCCGUAGCCUCUGAAAGAUUAAAGCACAAGGACACUUGAGAAGCGUUUAGCCGGGCGUUGGUUGCCCCGGUCGUAAGGGACUCCGAAUGGAGGAAGUAAAUGUGGAUUGAGGCAAGAAAAGUUGUGCGUAUAUCUGAAGAGCCCGUACCGCAAACCGACACAGGUAGACAGGAAGAGGAUUCUAAGGCCAACGGGAGAAGGGUUGUUAAGGAACUCGGCAAGUUGACCCCGUAACUUAGGGAGAAGGGGUGCUCGAAAGAGCCGCAGAGAAUAGGCCCAAGCGACUGUUUAGCAAAAACACAGCUCUAUGCUAAAUCGAAAGAUGACGUAUAUGGGGUGACACCUGCCCGGUGCUGGAAGGUUAAGAGGAGAAGUGAGAGCUUUGAAUUGAAGCCCCAGUAAACGGCGGCCGUAACUAUAACGGUCCUAAGGUAGCGAAAUUCCUUGUCAGGUAAGUUCUGACCCGCACGAAUGGUGUAACGAUUUGGGCACUGUCUCAACAACCCACCCGGCGAAAUUGUAGUACCGGUGAAGAUGCCGGUUACCCGCGACUAGACGGAAAGACCCCAUGGAGCUUCACUGUAGCUUAAUAUUGAGUUUUGGUAUUUCAUGUACAGGAUAGGUGGGAGACUGAGAAGCAUAGGCGUCAGCUUAUGUGGAGUCGCUGUUGGGAUACCACUCUUGAAGUGCUGAAAUUCUAACCUGCGCCCUUGAAUCAGGGCGGGGGACAUUGUUAGGUGGGCAGUUUGACUGGGGCGGUCGCCUCCAAAAGAGUAACGGAGGCGCUCAAAGGUUCGCUCAGCAUGGAUGGAAACCAUGCUAUUGAGUGUAAACGCAAAAGCGAGCCUAACUGCGAGACUGACGGGUCGAGCAGUAACG
rnacentral:rRNA from 1 species